CACCUGGUUGAUCCUGCCAGUAGUCAUAUGCUUGUCUCAAAGAUUAAGCCAUGCAUGUCUAAGUAUAAGCUUUAAACGGCGAAACUGCGAAUGGCUCAUUAAAACAGUUAUAGUUUAUUUGGUGAUCGAUUACUAUUUGGAUACCGUAGUAAUUCUAGAGCUAUACAUGCGUCAGGCCCGACUU
rnacentral:ncRNA from 1 species